rnacentral:tRNA from 1 species
CCGGUCUCGGGCCGGGGUCGGACCGCGGCCCGGGGUCCGCCCCCGGCCCGGAGGCCGGCCGCGGCCGCGCCCCCGGUACGGCGCCGGGGUCCGGCCC